GGGGAUGUAGCCUAGAGGUUAGGCAGCACACUGUUAAUGUGCCCUACGCUGGUUCAACUCCAGCCGUCCCCU
rnacentral:tRNA from 1 species